CCUACGGGAGGCAGCAGUGAGGAAUAUUGGUCAAUGGACGAGAGUCUGAACCAGCCAAGUAGCGUGAAGGAUGACUGCCCUAUGGGUUGUAAACUUCUUUUAUAUGGGAAUAAAACGUUCCACGUGUGGGAUUUUGUAUGUACCAUAUGAAUAAGGAUCGGCUAACUCCGUGCCAGCAGCCGCGGUAAUACGGAGGAUCCGAGCGUUAUCCGGAUUUAUUGGGUUUAAAGGGAGCGUAGGUGGAUUGUUAAGUCAGUUGUGAAAGUUUGCGGCUCAACCGUAACAUUGCAGUUGAAACUGGCAGUCUUGAGUACAGUAGAGGUGGGCGGAAUUCGUGGUGUAGCGGUGAAAUGCUUAGAUAUCACGAAGAACUCCGAUUGCGAAGGCAGUUCACUGGACUGCAACUGACACUGAGGCUCGAAAGUGUGGGUAUCAAACAGGAUUAGAUACCCCAGUAGUC
rnacentral:rRNA from 1 species